rnacentral:rRNA from 1 species
GAUGAACGCUGGCGGCGUGCCUAAUACAUGCAAGUCGAGCGAACAGAUGAGGAGCUUGCUCCUCUAACGUUAGCGGCUGGCGGGUGGGUAACACGUGGAUAACCUACCUAUUAUACUGGGAUAACUUCGGGAAACCGGAUCUAAUACCGGAUCAUAUGUUGAACCGCAUGGUUCAAUAGUGAAAGACGGUUUUGCUGUCACUUAUAGAUGGAUCCGCGCCGCAUUAGCUAGUUGGUAAGGUAACGGCUUACCAAGGCAACGAUGCGUAGCCGACCUGAGAGGGUGAUCGGCCACACUGGAACUGAGACACGGUCCAGACUCCUACGGGAGGCAGCAGUAGGGAAUAUUCCGCAAUGGGCGAAAGCCUGAUGCAGCCACACCGCGUGAGUGAUGAAGGUCUUCGGAUCGUAAAACCCUGUUAUUAGGGAAGAACAACAGUGGAAUUAACCAUGGAUGUUCUGACGGUACCCAAACAGAAAGCAACGGCUAACUACGUG